rnacentral:rRNA from 1 species
AGCGAACGCUGGCGGCAGGCCUAACACAUGUAAGUCGAACGAAGUCUUCGGACUUAGUGGCGGACGGGUGAGUAACACGUGGGAACGUACCUUUUGGUUCGGAACAACUCAGGGAAACUUGAGCUAAUACCGGAUGAGCCCUUAGGGGGAAAGAUUUAUCGCCGAAAGAGCGGCCCGCGUUAGAUUAGCUAGUUGGUGAGGUAAAGGCUCACCAAGGCUACGAUCUAUAGCUGGUCUGAGAGGAUGAUCAGCCACACUGGGACUGAGACACGGCCCAGACUCCUACGGGAGGCAGCAGUGGGGAAUCUUGCGAAAUGGGCGAAAGCCUGACGCAGCCAUGCCGCGUGAACGAUGAAGGUCUUAGGAUUGUAAAAUUCUUUUACCAGGGACGAUAAUGACGGUACCUGGAGAAAAAGCCCCGGCUAACUUCGUGCCAGCCGCCGCGGUAAUAC